rnacentral:lncRNA from 1 species
AAUUGAUUAUUACGAGCAAUAGCGAAGUAAACAAGUUAAUGUCUGGAAGUAAUACUUCUUUUCGAACAAUAACUCUGCUUUGUUCGGAAAGACCAUGUCACGCCUUUUACGAACUUUGGUUUGGUAUUCUACAAAGUUUAUUUUUAAAUAAACUCUUAGUUUGAUACUCCAACAUGCUUUUUCUGCUUUACUUUCAUUUGGAAUCUAUUCUAUACAUUUGAGAAAGUAUAAGGGAAAAAUUGAAUCUAUGGCUGGUUUAUUUCAACUUCAAUAUAGUGGUAUUUGGCGCGAAUUAAACAUUCAGGAGUGACGAGUUCAAGUGUUAUGAAAUCCUUUGUUUUUAGGUACUUGAUCCAGUGCCUCCUGUUUUAAUAGUGUUUGAACACCACGAUGCUUUAGUAAGAUAUAUGCAUAAGAGCACUAUAACACUAUUAUCGACAUCUAAUUUUUCUACUUAAGUUUAUUGCGGAGGCCAAAGUAUAUCGGUGAAAAAACUCACAUCAAAUAAAUUAUAUUACGUUGUGAGAGUUUCUUCAUUAUAAAUUAGCCUCCAGUUUCUUGUACUUUCAUUCAGAAGCAACAUAACGCAGCAAAUCGGCUAAUACUAACUGAGUCCUUUUGAUUAUAUUAAUGUGCUGCCAACGUUUUCGAUUCCAUUUUCGUGCGCUUGAAGAGUCUUUAAAGUAUGAAAAGAAAUCCUUGUACAAGUAACUUACUGAUCUGGAACGUGGCUGAAUUUAAGUCGUCUGACAUGCUUGAUUAAUGAACCGACAGUAUGAUUUGUUGUACCGCUUUGCAUAUCUCAAUCAGGUGAGCUCACAAGUCAGGAAAAUAAAAGAAGGAUCGUACGUUGCAACUUUUCGGAUGAAUACUCCUUUAAGACCAAAGUUGAAAGAAAUGGGGGCUAGGCGAUUUCGGGCAGCAUUCAUCAGAAUGGUUUGUGAAGAAACAAUAUAAAUAAAUUUCUUUGUUCCCUGUUUCGCGUAUGCUUUUCCCAGCUGCUUUCGUUACUUUGCAGAACUUGGUAUUACACUUGGUUAGCAAUGCCUGAUAGUAACCCGCGGUUAGGCUAAAUAAUGGAUUUGAGUUUCUGUUUCCAGACCGUACACUUUUAAUGUCCGACUUGAUUUUUUUUUUUUUUUUGAAUCUGAAGUGAAACAACUUCUCCAGAAAGUUGUUCGAUUCCCGAUAGUUUCGCAACUACAGCUAUAGGAUUUUAUGGAACUAGCCAAUAUAUCUCUCUAAUUAUAAGGAUUCGCAAAAUAUAUCUACUGGGUCCUAAAAAAAGAAUAAUUGGGGUGGAUUUUCGCUUUUGAAAGGAUAAUAUUGACAAAACUAGCUUUUCAUCAACCCGAAAAAAUACUAUUUGCCGACUAAAUUAUACUGUCAAGGAAACUGGAUAACUGCCUUUCAAACAUGAUUCAAAUAGUUCUAUUUACUGGGAAAACCGGAGCUGUAGAAUUCUAUUAAGGGAAAUCGAGGUUUGUUAAUGUUGCAAGGAGCACAUGGGCGUCAUGUUGCUGUUGCAAUUUCAAACUGUAAUAUGUACUCCCAUAUUAACAGGGAAAAAAUACAUUUAAGGGAACCAUUAAAACCCCCUUUUUUUUGUAGACACUGCAGUAGGAGUUGUUUUACGCUCAAAACCUGUGUUUGUAUUCUAUAACUAUUACUGAGGAUACGAAGACUUAACAAGGAAAUUGUUUUUACUUUGGAGAGCGUAUACUCAACAAACCACUGGUUACAUGGCUAAUAUUUAGUAAAAAAAAAUAACAUUUAAUGAAGAUCCCUUAUAAAGAGCCUAAGUUAUUUCGUAAUGGAGAUGGAAAUUCAUUUGCAC